UUCCCUUUUAAUCUCAUGGCUCUUGCCUUCUUCUUUUUGUUUGAGCAUUGAUUAUCGCAUUAGGAAGUAAUCUUGAGACUCUUGUUGUUAUAAAAAGCCUUAAGAGUUGUGUCCUGUUUCAGUCUAAUAUGAAAUUAUGAAUAAUGUAAGAUGGUUUCUUUGGUGUUAUUUUGAUGACAAUGUCACUUCAUAAAGUUUAUUACCUCUUUGUAUUGAGUUUUGCUUGAGAGUGAAGUUUUCAUUUGCUCUACGUGUUUUUAGCUUAACUAAUUUUCAAGGAAUUGUUGCGCGGUGGCUAGGCGCUUUAUAGAGGAUAAAUGUUUAGACGGGUGUCUAAACCAGUUUUAUUAAACAUGAUUUCCGAAAAAUUGAUUU